rnacentral:rRNA from 1 species
CCUACGGGUGGCAGCAGUGAGGAAUAUUGGUCAAUGGGCGCGAGCCUGAACCAGCCAAGUCGCGUGAAGGAUGACUGCCCUACGGGUUGUAAACUUCUUUUAUAAAGGAAUAAAGUGAGGCACGUGUGCCUUUUUGUAUGUACUUGAUGAAUAAGGAUCGGCUAACUCCGUGCCAGCAGCCGCGGUAAUACGGAGGAUCCGAGCGUUAUCCGGAUUUAUUGGGUUUAAAGGGUGCGUAGAUGGGUUGUUAAGUCAGUUGUGAAAGUUUGCGGCUUAACCGUAAAAUUGCCAUUGAUACUGGAAGUCUUGAGUACAGAUGAGGUAGGCGGAAUUCGUGGUGUAGCGGUGAAAUGCUUAGAUAUAACGAAGAACUCCGAUUGCGAAGGCAGCUUACUAAACUGUCACUGACAUUGAUGCUCGAAAGUGUGGGUAUCAAACAGGAUUAGAUACCCUUGUAGUC